UGUAUGUGUGUUUUUGUUGCUGAGUCCAAACCCGUUCUGCUCGCCGCUCGACAGGCCAAUAAAUCGGGAGACGAGGUGUUGGGGCAAGGAAUAGUGACUUCAUUUGGA